CCUACGGGAGGCAGCAGUGGGGAAUAUUGCACAAUGGGGGAAACCCUGAUGCAGCGACGCCGCGUGAGUGAAGAAGGAAUUCGUUAUGGAAAGCUCUAUCAGCAGGGAAGAAAGUGACGGUACCUGAGUAAGAAGCCCCGGCUAACUACGUGCCAGCAGCCGCGGUAAUACGUAGGGGGCAAGGGGUAUCCGGAUUUACUGGGUGUAAAGGGAGCGUAGACGGCAGUGCAAGUUUGGAGUGAAAGGCGGGGGCUCAACCCCCGGACUGCUCUGGAAACUGUACGGCUGGAGUGCAGGAGAGGUAAGUGGAAUUCCUAGUGUAGCGGUGAAAUGCGUAGAUAUUAGGAGGAACACCAGUGGCGAAGGCGGCUUACUGGACUGUAACUGACGUUGAGGCUCGAAAGCGUGGGGAGCAAACAGGAUUAGAUACCCGGGUAGUC
rnacentral:rRNA from 1 species